GCCUGGGUGGCUCAGUUGGUUAAGCAUCCGACUUCGGCUCAGGUCAUGAUCCCCGCGGUUCGUGGGUUCGAGCCCCACGUCAGGCU
rnacentral:tRNA from 1 species